CAAGCCGGUUUUGUAUGGAUGAGUUAGGUCUCGAUAUUCAUGACAUGGUAUCAGAUCCUAUCGGGUCCAUCGUUGGGCUUGCAUCUCCACGCUUCAGGCCCAUUGGGCUGGGCUGAAGCGUGAGGGGGGGUGUUAGCGGCCAACACUCGGGUGGGAUUUAGUCCCACAUCGGAUAUAUAGGAUUCUUGAGAAAAGUUUAUAAAGAGGAGGCACUCUCACCGUACAAGCCGGUUUUGUAUGGAUGAGUUAGGUCUCGA
rnacentral:lncRNA from 1 species